GGGGAAUAUUGGACAAUGGGGGAAACCCUGAUCCAGCAAUGCCGCGUGAGUGAUGAAGGCCUUAGGGUUGUAAAGCUCUUUUACCAGGGAUGAUAAUGACAGUACCUGGAGAAUAAGCUCCGGCUAACUCCGUGCCAGCAGCCGCGGUAAUACGGAGGGGGCUAGCGUUGUUCGGAAUUACUGGGCGUAAAGCGCGCGUAGGCGGCUAUUUAAGUCAGGGGUGAAAUCCCGGGGCUCAACCCCGGAACUGCCUUUGAAACUGGGUAGCUAGAAUCCUGGAGAGGCGAGUGGAAUUCCGAGUGUAGAGGUGAAAUUCGUAGAUAUUCGGAAGAACACCAGUGGCGAAGGCGACUCGCUGGACAGGUAUUGACGCUGAGGUGCGAAAGCGUGGGGAGCAAAC
rnacentral:rRNA from 1 species